rnacentral:rRNA from 1 species
CCUACGGGAGGCAGCAGUGGGGAAUAUUGCACAAUGGGGGAAACCCUGAUGCAGCGACGCCGCGUGAGUGAAGAAGUAUUUCGGUAUGUAAAGCUCUAUCAGCCGGGAAGAAAAUGACGGUACCUGACUAAGAAGCCCCGGCUAACUACGUGACAACAGCCGCGGUAAGACGUCGGGGGCAAGCGUUAUCCGGAUGUACCGGGGGUUACGGGAGAGUAGACGGCAGCGCAAGUCUGGAGUGAAAUGCCAUGGCUUAACCAUGGAACUGCUGUGGAAACUGUGCAGCUAGAGUGCAGGAGAGGUAAGCGGAAUUCCUAGUGUAGCGGUGAAAUGCGGAGAUAUUAGGAGGAACACCAGUGGCGAAGGCGGCUUACUGGACUGUAACUGACGUUGAGGCACGAAAGCGUGGGGAGCGAACAGGAUUAGAUACCCGGGUAGUC